ensembl:lncRNA
CAAUAACCUUGUUUCAUUUACUCAGUAUAAAAUAAUUACCCUACUUCCCUUUGUGUUUUGUUGGUCUGGUCUGGAAACCCCGCGCAAACGAAGAGGAACACACGGACUGAACAAGGGGAAGCGGGACAGUGCCAGGGUGCAAAGUUUUAUGAGUUGGUCUCAACCGAACUCACCACAUUCCCACCGUCCUGCAGCCGAGGGACGUGACUCUAGCCACGCCGGAGCUGCAGCCAAACCACAGCUCACUUAAGCAACAUUCUGAAGAAUCUUCAUGCAUCUUCUACUGUAAAAGGACAUCUCAUAAUUACCAUAUCUGGCAAACUAUCCAAAACGUCCCAAGACAUAAGACUCAGAAGUAAUAUUCCAAGUCUUUUAAUGUAAUGCAAUACCUUUGUGUGAGGGGGAAAAAUCGCUUUCAUAUGUCAUAUGAGGACUGGAAAUCUACUGAAGAAACUAAAAAACUUUUAAAUUAAAAAAAAAAAAAAAAAAUGUUUUGUUAGUUUAGUAACAGCAUAUGGUUUUAGAACAUAAUGAGGAUGAGUAAAUGAUGACAGAACUUUAAUUUUGGGUAAACUGUUCCUUUAAAUCAAGCAGCGUUCUCUCAGGGUCUAUCAGAAUGUGGGCAUUUGC